rnacentral:lncRNA from 1 species
CCCGUUCCCUCAGCCGCCGCACUCCACCUAUGUUCCCCUGCCGGCUCCCGAUCUAGAGCUUCCCUCUCCGCUCCCCUAUGCGUCGGGCCCCUCCGGACGACCCCAACUGCUGCGGCUAGACGACAUUCGGCGCCGUCCAUGACGGGCCCUUCCUCGGUCGCAGUCGACCAGCACAUGGACGGCGAACCCCAUGAUGCUCUGGCCAUCUCAACUAGAUCGCCGCUGACAUCUUCGGCCGGCAGCGAGCCAUGGUGAGGUACAGGGCGCCGUCGUCAUCACGGAUGCGGAGUACAGGGCGCGACCGCCACGGAUCCAGCCUCUGCUUCACCGACGCGGCCCCCUUCUCUGUUGUAUCUCGUGGCUACUGAUCCAUCUUUGACCGGCAGCGAGCCAUGGUGAGGUACAGGGCGGCGCCGCCGUCACGGAUGCUGUGUACAGGACGCCACCGACACGAAUCUAGCCUCUGCUUCACCGAUGCAGCCCCCUUCUCUGUUGCAUCUGCCGGCUAGGUAAUACUCUAAAGCUUGGUUGUUGGCGUUGUUUGCCUUUUGCCCGUGCUCUGAUUUAAGAAUUUUUAUGCAUCCUGGAAUACUUGAGAUGGAUGUGCAUCUUGACACGCAACUUAUUGUACAUGUAGACUUUGUAACCAAGAAUUUAGUGGUGUUUGGUGAGGCACCUUAUGCAGGAUUAUGAAUCUUCAUAUUCUUUAAUUAUAAUUUUGCUAAAAGUGAGUACUCUGGUUAAUAAUGUUCGAAUGAUAUACACAUGUUGUCAACUGGUCCAAGUCUCUGUACAAGUUUCAAUACAUGAAAUUUUCAAGUGAUUAAAUGUAUUGAUGUAUGUUCUGACAUCUUAAUGUAGAGCGGCCGGAUAUUUUAUUGACAGAACUGUGAGAUAGAUUUAGUGGCUCACUUGUCUUAUGCAUAGUAAACACAUUACCAUGCUUAUAAAUAAUUCAUUUAAUCACAUCUGACUGAAACAUGGAGUCCAUCUAAUGGCCUCAUGUUCCCUUCUCUAUUAGUAUUUUAUAUUGACUGGUUCCUUCAUAAUGUGGUUAGGUACUUGCGAAACUGUAUAGUUUAUGGCUACAACUUGAAGGUCCUUAUUUGGGUCUCGUCCAAAAAAAUGGAGCUGGAAAUUUUCCAUGCGAGCCUAAUUUUUAGAAUCAUGUUUUCAGUUUAUUCUGACUAGAAAUGUCCAGUGUGUGUUCCAUGAUGGUAACUCCAAAUAUGAUAUUUUUGGUCCUGUAGGUAUUUUCCAUGUAAAAAUAUAUACUUUGCUGUCUGUGUGCUUGGCUUUGUGCUAUUCAUAUCGAUGUUUAUAUAGGUGGAUUGUACAUUCUGAAUAUUUUCUUUGGAUAUUUUACCUGCUAUAAUAUGAUCAUUAAGCACCAUGCAUAUGGAUUAUACCUUUCGUCUAUUUGAGCAUCUCCUUCAGGCUGGGUGUGUACUUAGAAAAUGGAGAAAUGUACUCCUUAGAGAUCGACAUGUAAGUGUAAUUUUCAUCUACUUUGUUGAUGUAGUGUGUCUCUUCAUUCUGAGAUUGUGGGCGUAUUAUAAAUUGAGUUUGUUUGCUAUGUGCUCUGCCUAAGUUAUGUGAUUCAUGAAUCUGAAGAUAAAAAACUUCACAAGUUGCAACCCUGCCUAAACUACAUUUUGAUUGUCAACAUUUUUUUAGUUGAGAAAGUAAUAAGGUUCAAAAUAUUAGUUGUAGACAGUGAAUGAAAAUUAAUCUUUUAUCAUUCGUUUAACUUACCAGGAGUGUUUAGUAAGUAUAUGGUUGCUUCAGCUUUUCCCUAUUAUUGUAUAGAAAAGUUCAUUUGAAGAGGAGGUUUGGAAUAAGGAAAUGAUUAACCUGUAGGAUGGAGGUAUUCUUAUGUAGUGAAAUAAUUUUCUAACAAUCCUAUUCAUUUGUGAAAAAACAAAAUAUACCAUUGUGAGGAAGUACAUGAUAAAUCACUUAGCUGUUUAAAAGCAUACUUUAUUAGGCCUGAAAAAAUUCUAACAUAAUUUUAUUUUUAUGUUUGACAUAACCAUAUAUAUAUUUCAGUACAUAUCAGUUGUGUCACCCUAACUUCAGUAAUAAAUGCUUUUAUGUAAUUUUUUUGUGUCUACACUACUUUGUCUAAAUUAGUAGUGAUGAUUAUGAUUUGGUGGUGUUAGAUUCUAAAGGACCUUUUGUUUGUAGGCUAUUGCUAUGUUGUUGCAUUGCAAAUCUGGAUGACCACAUAUCUCUUAUGAGAUUUGGAUAUUGAAUAAACCACCACCCUGUCCACUAUGGAAAGAUGGGGUUUGCUGGACUCCAAUGAGCAUUACGGUGUCCUUUUUGGAGAGAAUGAGCAUUAUGGUGUUGGAGCGGAAAUGAUGCAAAGGGCAUUUGUGGCUAGUUUGUAAUUUUUUUUUUCUGGGAACUGUUUUUCUUACGUUCCUGGUUGUAAUUAUUUUUUUCUGUAAUUUGUAUUUGAUUAAAUUUUUUAAGGGAAUUCUUUUGUUAGAUAUGUUCAGAAAUCUAUUAAGUACACAUUGGAUCAAAAUGUUUGGGCUAUUGAUAUGGUUAAAAUCUAUGGGCUAAAAUGGGCUAUGAAUGUAAUCAGGUAGAAUGUAAU